CUGGUGUUCUGACUCUUGUUCCACUCACUGCAUGAAAUGAAGCUGGCGGAAUAUUGCUACAAAAGAAUGAUCGUGGCAGGAGGCGGGGUAGAGCAAUGUCAGGUCACGGUGCGUCUUGCACCGAAAUAUUAAGGCAGUUGUAAUGAUCUUUGUCUCACAGAAAUGAACAGAGUGAUGAAGGAGGCUCAGAGAAAGGCAGCUGAGAAGAGCAACAAGGUAGAAAGGCUGACUUAAAGUAGAGAAAUAAAAAUUCAUCCAGCACCUCCCAAGGUCGGACAUUGGUCAAGAAACGCCCAAAUAGUUCAGGUCGUUUAACUUUGCUCAAAUUCCUCAAGGCAGGUAUCACGACUCCUCCUGCUUUAGAGGUGAGAAUGCCAAGGCUCCCGAGGGCUGAGUAAGGAGCCCUGGUUUGUUUGAGUGCAGGUAACACAACAGGUGUUAAAGCCCAAUCUUCAGGGUCUUAAUCCAACAGAAGUUAACUUUCGCUUAGAAAAAGUUCAGCACCAGAGUUCCUGGUGGAUAAGCGACUUCCCACAAGGUCAUUCCUGGGCCUUCUCUGUGUCUCCCCACCCUGUCCCCCUCUGAGGGUUUCAAGUCCUCGGAAGGUUCUAGAUCCACCCUGCAUGGAGCGCAGGGCCCCACUGCUUGUUUCCAUUGCUGAGCCCAACAGGAAAGGCUGGGAUCGGAGGUCGCCUUGCACCCAGGAUGGAAGGGAAGUGCGUUUGGUGAACACAUAGUGCCCAGGCCACCUACCCAAAGCCGCACAGCUCCAGCAGCAGCCUACAGUCCGACCCGGGCCAAGAAGCGAAGUCCAACCUCAUGCUUUCUCUGACUUGAGUUUUCUGAACCUCAGAGUCCUCUCCUAUAGAAUGGAGAACACGUCUCCUUCACAGGAUUACUAGGAGAAUGAGCAGAGAAAAUGCCUGUGGAGGAGACUUCUGGACACUUAGUUAUGGACAGGGCACCAGGAGAAAGGGUGGUGCUGGAGUCUCUCCUUAGCUCUCAGAGAUCAUCACAAAGAGGGUGCCUCCUGCUUCCGGCCCAUGGCAGAGUGUGUCCGAGAGGCCGCCUCUCACCUCCCUCCCUGGCCUCGCACACGCAGUCGGGACUGGAUUUCUGAUGGCAAUUCAGUGACGCACAAUCGAAAACCAGCAGGGCGGAACAGGAGAUGGGAGCAAACUAAGCUACCGUUUCACUAACUUCACAGAGGAGCCUGACACAGAAAAAUGUAUACAUUGUUUGCCUUAAAGUGAACAAUAGGGAAUAGCUAUCGUAUCUUCAAAGCAGCUUUCCAAGAUCAAAUCCGUCGCAUCCGGAAUGCGUUUCUUUGACCUUGGAACCUCCAGGAGUGGCCAGGCUCCCCCACAGAUCACACGCAGCGUUGCCUAGAAGCCGGUAGCUCUCCCGUAGGACGCUGGGAAGCAGCCAGCUGUUCAUGUGGGAGUGUCGGCGUGCGUUCCUUUGUCAACGUCCUGCAAGAAAGAAAAGGCAAGAACGUCAGCGAUGGCUCCACUGACUGAUUAAGGCAAAGGAAGUCGCCACUAUGCCCUGGAUCUGUUCCUGAAGGAUUACAGCAUGAAGAAAAAUAAUGUGGGUAGCCGGGCUUCAUCUUAGCAACACGAGCACCUCAUUUUGGUUUUCAGUUGGUCUUUUAAUGAACAAAUGUGUUGGAAUGUUUGGGUCUCUGGUUUUUAUGCCGAUUUCUACCAUCCUGCCCUGGGGAUGAGGUGGAGCUGGGAUUAACAAAAAAUUCCUAUUCUCCAGCCAGGCGCAGUGGCUCACGCCUAUAAUCCCAGCACUUUGGGAGGCCAAGGCGGGUGGAUCACCUGAGGUCGGGAGUUUGAGACCAGCCUGGCCAACACGGUGAAACCGAUCCCUACUAAAAAUACAACAAAAAGUUAGCGGGGUGUAGUGGCAGGUGCCUGUAAUUUCAGCUACUUUGGAGCUGAGGCAAGAGAAUCACUUGAACCCGGGAGGGGGAGGUUGCAGUGAGCCGAGACCACGCCAUUGCACUGGUCAAUAAGAACGAAACUCUGUCUCAAAAAAAAAAAAAAUCCUAUUCUCCAUGGGACCCAAAUCCCUUUUUACCUCCACCUCCUGGAUAUGCAGCAAUUAAGUGAUUCACGGAGGUGCAGUGAGGCGAAGGUUCCAUGUAGCCACAGGUUGGAAGAAACAAGUACUGUUGGCAUCAACUUUGUCAGCUUGAAGCAGGCCUUCUAGAACCCAUAAUGCCAGGACAAGCUUUCUAGAUGGCAGAAGAGCCUAGCCUAUUUGGUGUGAAUGAAAGACACUCAGGUGAUACCUUCUAUCUCUUCAAGCCCCAGAAUAACAUACGUGUGACAGACCAGGAUUCAGCCCACAGCCUGGAGCCAAGACACCAUCCGACCCAGAUGAACCUGCGUGGAUCACCUGAGCCACUAGUGACCCAGAGAUCCUGAGAGUGAAAAACAUGCAUGGUCCUAUACACCACUGAGUUUUGGGAUGACUUGUUACUUAGCACUAUUAUGACAAUUGCUGACUAAUAUACCAGGCUCCUGGAAGAUUUGUUGUGAGGUUCUCAUAAAAUGAUGAAUGUGAAAUUGCAUUGUAAGCUGCUUUUAAAAAAGGUACUUAGCUGGAGUGAAAGCUCUACAAAGGCAGAAAUUGUUUUGCUACUGUAACUAGAUGAGUUCCUGGAAUAAAAUAGUAGCUCAAUAAAUACCAUAUUAAUUGAAUUGGAUGGAUGGAUGGAUAUAUAUAUAUAUAUAUAUAUAUAUUUUAACCUUGGAACUUCUAUCAUAGGCAUUUUUCCUUGGGUUGAAACUACUAAUUUCUCUUAAGUACAGAUACCCCCCGAGAAAGCUAAAAUGCUGUAUUGUUUAUCACAAUACUUUUGGUUCAUGAUAAUUACUGCCAGAUACCUGGAGUAAUUAUAGAAAUUGUAGAGAACAAGAGGUGAGGGGUGGGAGAGCUAAGAAAUGGAUUUUCCAGUUUUGCCCAUGGCUACUUUGUGCAGCACCUCUGACAAAAGCUUUGGGAGUUUUCCAGAAACUAGCAUUCUGCGCCCUCCCCAAGCACUUAUUUCUUCCUUCCCCAGGGUGCCGUGUUUGCAUUUCUGCAGCACAACAUGGAGGGUAAAGGGAUUGCAGAGUGAGUCUCCACUUCCACUCGUCUCUGUUGUUGGAGAGGAUUAAAAGAGCAGGAGAGGGGCUGCCUGUGUCCUGGGAAAUUUUCAGGACAGAAGAAGAGGCUGGCCCUGUGCAGUAGGUGCAGAGCAGGCACCCGGCCUCCAGGGCCACCGAUGACUCCAGGGCCUGGCAGGAGCCAGGAUGUGGCUCCUCGUGGAGGGCUAUGCCAGCCGUGUGUCCGACCCAGAGCACAGAACCAUUGCCCCAGCAGGGCUUUUCAGUGGAACCGAGUGUCCCCACACGAGCUUUGUCUCCGGAUGCACACGAGGAGAUUCUGCAGCACAGUGGAUCCGAUUAAGCCAUUACAGCUUUCCAGAGGGAAAAGAAAAUUUAGGACGUGUAGAAACUAAGUCUUUGCCCACAAUCAAGUUUCCAUUCAAAUUAUGAAAAGGAAGUGAUUGAAUGAGAAUGAGAUGACCUUCCCCUUCCCCCACGGAUCUUCCUCCCUCUGGUUCCCUCUGCUGCUGACACGAGCACUGCACCCAGGCGACGGCCCCGGGCGCCCAGGCUGACUCCCGCACUCGGGCGCUGAGCUCAUGGCCGGUUCUGAAGAACUCUGGUUCUGCUCAUGCCCCACAUCAAAACGGCCAAGUCUUCAGAUUUGGGAUUUCCCAAGCCAAAAGCAUUUUCAUAGAAUUGCAUUUCAAUAUUUACAUUAUCUUUAAAGAAAGUCCAGCUAAAAAUAAAAAAUAAGUAAAAAUGUUAAAAAUAAAACAACCCCAGAGAGAAGUGGGGUCUACCUGAAUGCAAUGCAAGAUGAAGUGGACAUCUGGACGCCCCUCCUCCAGGGCUUCGCAUGCUCCCCGGGGCUCAGGGGCUCGGGUGGGGCAGCUCCUCAUGGCGUGGGGUAGGGAGGGUGACCCCAGGUUCUUAGUCAGGGCAGGUGCAGGCCUGUGAGACACCAGGCGAAGGAGGCAGAGCAGGCCGUCCUGUGUGGAGUGGCUUAUUCUAAUUCAAACUCCCCUGUUUUCUUCCUCUUCCUUUUGGGGGAACUCAUCCCUCUGAGACCUCAGACAGACAUGCACCAGGCUAUGGGUGGGGGUAAUGCAGGGCAGGCAGGGUGGUGCAGGAGAAGCAUUCUGCUCUUUUCUGCAGUAAGGUAAAUAUCGUGGCCGUCAUCUGUUCCACCUCCUUCCUGCUGUCUGGCUUCGUUAGUGCAGAUCAAGAGCAUAGGUCAGUGCCCUGGAGGGUGUUCAGGAUGACCGUAGCAGAGGUCUCCGUGCCACAAAUGGAACCCAGCCUUGCUAACUUCUCCAGGCUCGGUGCCCAGCACCCCCAGGGCACACAGAAACCACUGUGGUGUGAGUGGUGCUGGAGCAGCAGACACAGGCGCGUUGUUGUCGGGAGGUGGGGGAGCCCCCGCCGGCUUGCGUGUUUUCUUCCUUAGCAACUGCCCCUCAGAAGCAAUACAGGACUUACCCUAAUGUCACCUCUGCUGAGUCCACGCCGGGGAAUGGCUGAGAAACAACUUCAUGCCAGAAUCCUGUCAAUCUAAGUCUCUACAAAAUUCUAGGAACCAAGAAAUUAUAAACUGAAAGCUCUUAAUGAGAAGCUCUCUGUGGGCAAUGAUCUGGGCUCUGCAGGGGGCUCCAGCAGCUGCCAGAGGGAAAUAAACGUGGAAAAGAACAACCUGAGGCUGCUCGGCUGAAGGCCGGAGCAUGGGGACUGCCCUAACCCUCACUCACGGUGCAGGGAGCUUCCCAGGAAGUCUCAGCUCACCUGCAGCCUUCGAACCAGGAGAGGCUCCGUGAAAGAGCAGGAUGCUCGAGGUCUGGCCUCAACCCUGUCAUCAUUGUCAAUCCCUGCGGCUCCUCCUUCCAGGGAGGCUGGGCAGAAGAGCAACAGGAGCAGGGACAGUUAUAACCAGAAUGAACAAAGCCUGGAAUUCAUUAACAGAGCUUACAGGGAAGGUGAGUGGUUUCGAAGCAUUUUUACUAAUCCUUUGAUAAGUCACCCUGAUGUGAGAGGUGGAUUUAGCGACUUGCUUAUGCCAAGUAGCAUAUGGCAAAAGUAAUGAUAUUUCACUACUGCACGUAUCUGCAAAGGGAGCACUCACUCUGGGGCAAGCCAGGCCUGUGUCAUGAAGACACUCGAGCAGCCCUGUGGAGAGGCCCAGGCGUAAGAAACAGACGCCUCUUACCAACAGUCAGUGAGGAACUGAGGUCUCCUGCCAUGAGCCAUGUGAGUGCGCGAUCUUGGAGGUGGGUUCUCUAGCCCCUGUCAGGCAGUCAGAUGAUGCAGCCCCAGUCACAUGCAAUCAAGUCUAGGUUCUUGAUAUUCUAGUUACUUAAAGAUUGUCAAGCAAGAAGUCAUUUCUUCCCCGGCUAUGCUAUUCAAAGGUUCAUGAAUCUUUUGGAUUUUGUAUAUUUUAGAAAUUCCAGAAUUUAUCAGUAGGAACCAGAAAUAGAAUAUCCAGCAGGAACGGCAUGAUGUAUAAAAAAAUAUAGUCCUUUUUGUACAUUCCCCUCUUCCAUUAUUCUAACUGUAUCUACCUUCAAAUCACACCUAAGAUUUCAGGGAUAGACCCUUUACCUCGAAGAUAAUGAAACCCAUCAGAUUAUAAUUUUUUUUUUGUUAUGGACAAUUCCCUUCCCUAAUAUUUCUCAAACUGAAGGUUGUAAUCUACUUCAAAGAGUCGUCCAAGGAAGGCAUGGUGAUCGACGAGUUUCAAAUAACUAUCAAAUACAUUUAUUUAUCCUAAAAACGUUGACAGUAAUGAUAGAAAUACUCAUUUUUAAAAUUCUUGAAUUCUGAUACAUAGUUCUAUUUUAAAGUCCUGAAAUACCAGUAUUUUUUUAUUGGUAUACUACAAUUAUACCACUAUUUUUGGAAACUAAGGUCUGAAUUAUUAACUUCUUUUUUUUGAGAUGAGGUGUCAUCUGUUGUUGUUCAGGCUGGAGUGCAGUGGUGCAAUCACGGCUCCCUGCAGCCUCAGAUCCCUGGGCUCAAAGAAAUCCUGUGAGCAUGGCACUGUACCCAGCUGAUUUUUUAAUGGUUUGUAGAGACAGGGCUUUGCUUUGUUGCCCAGGCUGGUCUCAAGCUCCUAACAUCAAGCAAUCCUCCUACCUUGGCCUCCCAAACUGCUAGGAUUACAGGUGUGAGUCACCAUGCCCAGCCUUUAUUUAUCUCUUAAAAUGAAAGUCAUUGACUAAACUAUUCAAUUUUGUGCCAAAAAAAAGAUGAACUAAUGUGCAGUCUUCAAAACUGAUAGGAUUAUUCUGGAAAAUUUUGUACAUACACACACAAAAAAAGAAGCAUUGAUGACUUUUGUUAAAAACACCAAAUAAUAUGUCAUUUUAAAUGUUUAUGAACGAUUAAUUUCUUAUUUCAAUAUAAUGCUUAGUUGAUUAUUUGUAAUAAAAGUUUAUUUUUGUUUAUGUGCUAAUCCAUUAGGAUGUGAUAUAGUUUGGAUAUUUGUCCCUACCCACAUCUCAUGCUGAGUUGUAAUCCCCAAUGCCAGAGGUGGGGCCUGGUGGGAGAUGUUUGGGUUCUGGGGGUGGGUCCCUCAUGGCUUGAUGCUGUCUUCUUGAGAGUGAGUUCUCAUGAGAUCUGGUUAUUUAAAAGUGGGUGGCACCUCCCUGCCCACUGUCUCUCACUUGUUCCUGCUCCUGCUCCUGCCAUGUGAUGUGCCUGCUCCCCCUUUGCCUUCCGCCAUGAUUGAAGCUUCCUGAGGCCUCCCAGAAGUAGAAGCCGCCAUGCUUCCUGUAUAGCCUGUAGAACCACAAGCCAAUUAAACUUUUUUUAAAUGAAUUACCCAGUCUCAGCUAUUUCUUUAUAGUAAUGCAAGAAUGGCAUAAUACAGGAUGAUAAUAUGUUGAAGGUUUAUAGAUUCAAAAAAUGUAUUUUAGUUAAUUUGAAAAAUAAUGUAAGAAACACAUGAUAAAUAUUCAAUUACGUUUGUGAAAUACACUAAAUCCCUACCUGCUUAUUUCCUAGCUGGGCUGCUAUAACACAGUGCCACUCACUGGGUGGCUUUUACUGCUCACAGUUCUGGAGACGUGGACAUUUACAAUGAAGACUGAUUAGGGCCAGUUUCCUGAUUCACAGAUGGGGCCUCUCGCUGUGUCCUCACAUGGCAGAGGGACAAACAGGCUCCCUCUCUCUCUUUUAUAUGGGCACUGAUCCCAUACAUGAGAGGUCCACUCUCAGGACCAAAUCACCCCCUUGAGACCCCACCUCUCAACACUAUCACCAUAAGGAUUAGCCUUCAGCAUCUGAAUGUGUGGGGAGGAAGCACAAACAUUUAGAUCACAGCGCCCUGUCCCUGGUUUCCCAAAGUUCACAUCUUCCUCACGUGACAAGUACAUUCAUUCCAUCCCAACAGCCCUACAAGUCUUAACUCGUUCCAGCAUCAACUCAAAAGUGUGAAGUCCAGAGUCUCAUUUAAACAUCGUCUAAAUCAAAUACGUGUGUGAUUUAAGGUAAAAUUCAUUGUGAGACAAACUGCUUUCCAGCUGUGAGCCUGUAAAAUCAAACAUGUUAUGUGUUUCCAAAUUCAAUGGUAGGUGUUAUGGUUUGGACUUGUGUCCCCACCCAAAUCUCAUUCAAUUAUAAUCCCCGGUGUUGGAGGUGAGGCCUGGUGGGAAGUGAUUGGAUCAUGGGCCGGAGUUCUUAAGAAUGGUUUGGUACCAUCUCCCUUGGUACUGCAUAGUGCGUGAGUUCUCAUAAAAUCCAGUUGUUUAAAAGUGUAUAGCACUUGUCCUUCUCUCUCCCUCCUGCUCCAGCCAUGUAAGAUGCCUGCUUCCCCUUUGCUUUUCACCAUGAUUGUAAGUUUCCUGAGGCCUCCCCAGAAGCUGAGCAGAUGCCAGCAUCAUGCUUCCUAUACAACCAAUGGAACUAUGAG
rnacentral:lncRNA from 10 species